UUCUCUCUCAAUUUGGGAUUCUCAAAGCCAAUGAGACACUUUGAGCCCUCCCUCCAGCAUAAUUCCUCACAAAAUUCACCAAGAAAACUUGUCCUUUCAAUUAGAACUCAAAGCAGCCCCCCCUCUCUUGUGGUUGUUUAUAUCGUGUACAAGUUGAGGAACUUGAGACACAGGUUGGUCUACGGUUUGAACUCUUGAAGUCGUGUUGGGUUGUUGUAUGCUAAAGACUGAGGAAAUGUCCAAGAAGAUGCUUGAAGUUGGCAAUUGGAGAUAAAGUUCUUGGGAGCUUUAAGGAAGAUCACAUUUGCAUAUAGGCAUCUAUAUUUUGUAGUAGUUUUGGGACAUGUAUAUGAUUCAUGGGGUGCUUGUGUAUAUGUAUUUAUUUGUGAGAGUUGAUCCAUUCAUGACAUCGUGGGUUGUAACUUAAAGUUGGUUGCUUGUUUUGUUAUUCGGGGACAUGUAAAUUCCAAGUUUUAUGAUGCACUAAAUUUACCGUUGAAGUUGAAA